UUUUGGUGGCAACACACCACAGACAUCAUUCAGUCCUGUGCAUCUUGUUUCCAGUGUGCUCAGUAACUGGAAUUGUUACUGUUAGUUUUGAGGCUGAUCUUCAUUUCCCAAUCAGGGGGGGCUCUUUUCCAUGGAAGUGCCCCUGCCAGUGGGAUGCCCAGCAGCAUUGUCCUAGCGCUGUGUGUCUCUAAAUAAAGUGCUGUGACCACUUUACUCCUUUUGUUCAGCAGUAUGGUAGAAAGCCCUACAUACAAGGUAUUACUUUUUAAAUCUACUUUCCAAAAGCCUUGAAAUUUGGAUAGUUGUCUUUCAUGAAUGUUUGUUUUCCCAUUAUUUCUCCAAACCCCAGCAAUUAUUUCUGAGCUACGUGUGAUUUCUGCCAUAUUUGACAAAAAGGCAGAGGUCCCAAAAAUCUUUGGUUUGAACAAGUUUGGUGCAAGUGGAGGAGAAAUGGCAGAGUGCAGCAUUCAGUCCUGAUUUAACAUGAGGAUGGAGAAAAGAGUGUAAAGGAAAGAGAGGGAUGGUGUAGAUCACAGAAUCACGAAAACUCUACAGCCAUAUAAACUCCCAAAUUUCACAGAUGCAGCAGGAAGGCACACAACCACAAGGCACUGGGCUUUGCUCGCCCUUUUGCAGAACAAUUUGCAAGCCUGCACUGCAGCAGCUGGGUGGUUGUACAGCCACAACUAGCACAAUAGCAUGCGUUAUGGUGGCUUUAUAGUGCUGACGUAAGGUAGGUGGGGAGGUGACACGCCAAGCCCCACACCUACCAUCACGUCAUACGCGGUGUCUAUGGAAGGCCAGCACCGGUCUCCCGCAAAUCCAGGGGCUGUCAAAACGCUCCGUGUGUAAUUCUGUGCAAGAUAAGCAGUGUGUACAUUGCUGCGAUGAUAUCAGAAGUCCUCAGGGCAAGUCAUGCCAUCUGGGAAGGGCAAUCUCGGGUGAGUUUAACUUCUGGAACAGGAAGGUGAGCCUGGCACUGCCAUCCCAUAUCCAGACCGCUUUUAAAAAUGACGUUCCUGCAAAGAUAGCACAGGUUUCCUUAGGUUGUUUAGUAGAAGAAAGGAUCCUGUGAAUUCAAGGUUCAUUGGCACACGGUGAAACCGUGCCACGGUCAGGUGCAAUGGCAGUUGUGGAAGGUUGGGGUACCAAACAGAAGAGCACCCCAGAAACCAGCUGCUCACAACUUUGGGCUUAUUCUCUUGCCACCAACCUGAUGCUUCAGAGAAAGUUUAAGCAACAGCCUGGGCAGAAGUCGCUAUCAAACAUGUUUGAAGUUUCUGUGAGUUUUUUUGUUGUUGUUUGCUUGCUUGCUCCUUUGGCUUUUAUUUAUUGCUUCCAUAGCAAUGAUUCCAGCACACAAGGAAAGGUGCAAACCUUUGCUUUGCUGUGGUGAAACCAGGCUGCUUUCAUUUGGACACCGUCCAACGUGUCCAGAACGGAUCCGAGUGAAUCUGACGGGGUGUGACACACGUUGUUUUCCCUGGUGGAAGCGAGCCAAGCAAAGAGGCAGUCGCAGACAGAGCCUGUGGGUACCUUCAACCCUCGAGGAGUCUGGCGAUCCCAAGAGCCUGGGCACGUCUCUUCUUGGGAAGACAGGGGAAAGAGAAGUAGAUGAUAUGAGAUGAUAACGUAAUGCAACGAUUGCUGGUUGUCCGCGGAGAAGCACAAACGUGACCCAGGGUUUGGGAUAAAGCCAAGAAAACUGCUGAGAAGACAGAUCCUUGUUAUCACGUGCUGCAGGUUAUUGGGGACCCAUUGCAGAGCCUAGCUCCCCCACAGAAUGGGGGAGAGGAUAGAGGAAUCAUCCUAAAAGAGGAACCUGGACCCCUGCUACCUCAAAGACUUACCAGAAACAAAACAAAAACAGAAAGAGAGAGAGGGAAUAGAGAGUGCUGAAUCCAUUCCUAGACCAAAAGGUCUCUCGGUUGGGGUGGGUGGGGCUGUAGCUUUUUGCCACCAGUCCAUUAGCUUUCGUGUUGCUCCUACUGCUGGUGCCAUCAGCACUUAGCUUGAGAUGGUGUCCAUGCAAGGAGGAGAGAAAGAAGGGGAGAUUUUCCUUGCUGCAGCUUGCAGAAGGGCCCUGCGCCCCCAUAUUCCUGCCCUGCAAUCCCAGUAAAGACCAUUUCUUCCCGAAGAACUUGCAGAAGAAAUAUUCACAGAAGAAAUUACUUCCAGAAGAACCUCUGGGCUUAUCCACAGGCAGUGGCUUCUAGGGUUGGACUCCUUCCUGGACAGGGAGGUGAGUGCUUGCAGGCUUUACAAGCUAAAGCAUAAAACCUGGUUAAACACAAACGAUGAGGAAAGCUUGGUGGGGUGGGUCAGAAGGAAGAACAACCUUCUAAAAUGUAUGGGGCAAGGCCUCACUGGCACCUUGGCCGGCUGCAAGGGAAAUGUGCAGCACACGGAGCUGGACUCCCCUUCCAGAGGUCACAUACCGAAAGAGUCUUUCAAGAGGAUUUGCACAAGCCAGACAGACUUAUUUUAUUUAUCUAAUAAUGCUGGUAUUUGUACCUAACCAAUAUAGGCCACGGAGUGGAAGUGCUGAGGCACUUUGCUGAGGGCUCACCGCGGAAGGGAGGCCAUGCAGGCCGGUUACGUUUUUACGUGCUAGGAGCCUGCUGACUGUAGGAUGUAUUGAGUUUCAGUGAACAUCAUGAAAUGUUAUAAUGUACGAGCCUGCACCGACAGGGCAUUUCGAAGCGGGCAUCCCCUUCAGCAGGAGGAUUCGGGCUGCCAACAGGGCCUUUAUGCUCACCUAAACCCUGAGAUAAAUUAGCUCGUUAUUGCUUUUUUCUCCAGGCACCACAGACAGGGCUUACUGGGCUAUGUCUCUGAGCUGAAUGAGGUUGGUACUUUGCCAGCCCUGGUCACAGACCUUUAGCGAAGACAUCUCAUGCUCUUGCCCAUAAGGAAACGUGCUUCAUAAGUGGGUGAUCAUUACUGAAAUACAUUUGAUAACAGAGGGGUUAUCAUUCAAACGCCUGGGCUCAAUAAAGAUAGCUGAAUAAGCAUGGCUAUGGCAUUGGUGGAAAUGGGAAAACAUAUCUGCGGCAGGUUUCUCUCUUUCUGUUUAAGGUUAUAAAACAUGAGAUGUAAUCAACAUUUAUUUUCCAUACCAGAAGUAAAAUGGCUUAAGUAGUAGUAUUCAUUAUUUUAAAUAAGCAAUGAAACAAGCAAAAAAGCCCCUGUUUUUCAUGCUUUUUUAAACAACAAACAAACAAAAAACAACUAUCUGUUAUUUAUGGUCCCACCAGCAUUAUGUAUUAUCUGACCAUGCAGCACAGCUUGGCUCUAAAAGCUAAAUUUUAAGAGGAAUACUUUAGGAGGCAGAAAAUCUCUUUGCACCUCAGUCUAGAGGGGUUAAAACCCAUAGUGUCCACGUCCCAGCGCACUACAGUCUCUGGCCUUGUUGGAUAUGAGCCAUGCUGCCACAUAGGGUCAGGGAAACAAGAUAAUAACACACCUGAAGGAUGGCUUUGAAGAUGCAGGGUUUAGGAGCAAAGGAUCUCAGGUUUUGUGUUUUACCCAACAUUAAAUGCAGGUGCUGCCCUGGGAUCGAGGACUUGAACCUCAUGCUCUCAUUUUCUAUGAUUUCCUUGGUCACCAGUGUUGUUAAGAGUGUACCUCCAUGAGUUACACCAUUUCACAUAUCAUCAGCAACAAAAAGACUUUCUUGAGGUCAUUAAUUACAACAGAGCCCAAAGCAGUUGAUGUUUUUUGGGGGGCAACUUCCUUUAAGCUAGAAGGCAGACUUCUUGAAUUAUACCUCUCCUAAUUCCAGCUCCCAGGAAAUGCACAUUCAAUUCUUGAUUUGGGGAAGCAAACAGCUUUGUUGUAUCCUAAAUGCCAGCCAGAGGUUAAUCCAUGAUGUCGACCAGAGCAUUUUCCAUUUGCAUUGGUAUACUCCUGGAAUCACUCUGCUAAGAUGCAGCAACUUACAGGUAGGGCUCUGCAGCUCACAGUUUUUGAGCAAUAUCUGUCUCCAUCCCAGCAUUUCUCUCUUCCCAGCAGAUGUGAUAGAAGCACCGUUCUGCAGGAGCCUGUCUACCCUCCCUGCCAGCUCGGGGUCCAGCCCGCCGCUCGCUGCAGCCACUGGGAAGUUUUCCACGACCUGAGGAACAGGCUGGAGCUGGCUCGCACUCUGCUCCUUUAAAGCUGCAAACUGGUUGAGCUAGCACAACCAGCGCUUUGCAGACAACUCAGCAAUUACGGGAUCAUAUAACUACAGUAAGAGGCUGAGCUGCAAAUUACUGUAAUUAUGAAUAUUUCUGUUGCAAGGCAAAUUUACAGCCAGAUAUGUCAUGUCAAAAUUAUUUCAUUUUGUGGGUAAUUCUAAUUUUGCAAUACAUUUCUAGAACUUCAUUUUCCUGUUAAACAGCAUAUUAAUUUGAAGAGUCUAUUACAGCGGUUAUAGUGGAUUAUUGUUAGAAUUCAGAGGCAGAUUAUGAAAUGCAAACAUGCUCCAUGGCAGGCUAAAUCCUGAUCCCAGACAAAAUAGCUGAGAUGGGAACGGCGAUUAAUAUCAUCAUAAGGGUGUUGGGCAGUGUCUGAGGAGAGGCUCGGUUCCCUGCCAGGGGACUGUUUUUUAAGUACAUCUGCCCAUAUCCCAAACCUUGCAUUCAGACUCCUUCUGGAGUUCACCCAGGCAUUGCUAACGAUGAUGCCUCGCAGGGGACGUGGUGUGAAGGAGCUCUUGGCCUCUCCCGGCCCCAUCCAUGACUGACACGGGGCAAAUGCAGGGAUUUAACCCGGCUCUCCCUCCCGCACCGGCUGCCAGUGGAAAGAGCCGUGACUCGGGGCUGACCGGGUCACCGCCAAAAGUAGGAACGACCUUGUCAACUUUGUCAUCGUAUCUGGUUACGUGGCGCGGGAGGAAGCCAAAAUCACCCCCUCCCCUUGCCGGUUUGCUCAUUAGCAGUUCACGGGACGGGCUUGACCCUCGUUUCCCCUGCAGACACCUCUGCCACGUACUGAAGCGGGUCUGAGGCACGCGUGGCAUGUGGGGCCAAGCCCUGGGGUACACUCACGGCCAGGCCCAGGUGGAGCUGGUGACCGAGGUGGUUUUCUUGGGGAAGAGCUGUAGGUGAGAUGGCUCUUCUGCCCCCCCGAGAUGGUGGUUUGGGGUGCUUCUGCCCUGCGUUAUUCCCCACCGGUUCACAGCUGCUCCCUGCAGCAUGUGCGCUAUUCGCAGAUUAUUGUCACAUAAAUAUUUCCCUCUCCAGGCGAACACUGAUAAAGCCUCUGUGAUCCAGGCUUUCAUCUGCAACUGCCAGGCAACGGGGCUCUCCAUUCCCAAACACUGUGAAGUCCAAGGAGCCCCACAGCGGAGCUGGAAGUGGCUUUUGUAGGGUCCCUCUUGCCCCCACGGACACUUUCCAAGAGCUGUUUUGUUCCAGCAGCAAAAUCAGGAGACCCUCUCCAAGAACAAGCCUCGCAAGCAGGUGCUUGGGACAGAAAGCUCUGCCAAGUGCAGUGGUGACUGGGUAGAAAUGACUUUUUGGACCCUAAAAGAGUUUAAUGAAGAGCAGGGAGUAAAAUGGUAUAUUAAAAUAUUGACAUAUCAUUAACUCCUGCAUUACGCCCUAGCCAAAGCACUUAGCAGCAGAACUGCACUGGAGCCUGACAUUACAAAGGACCAUCCCCUCCAAAGAGGAUAAUUCCCAUCAGACCUUACAGUCCCCUUCAUGAGGUAUCAAUUAUUUAUCCUGUGCACUGCAAAAGUCAGCAAAUCCUUUAGAUAUGAGAGAAGACUGCUAAACAAGCUGAUGAUCAGGACGGUGAAAUGUUAGUCUUUCCCCAUGGGAUGCUGCCCACAAUUUCACCCAUGAACUGGGCAAGGAGGGAAGGUGCUGGUCCUCUCAAAAUUUCCUUCUGAUGCUCACCUGCAUGGCCAGCUUCUCCAGGGCAUCCUUCCCCUGCCGAGCAGCUCCACUCAGACAUAAAUGCUGUCCUUCUUCCUCACGCACGGCAAACUAGAUUAAAUUCCUCAUGAAAUUAACUAGCGAUCUCUCACAAUUAAACUCAUAAUUAAUGUAAAUAGUCAAUUUAAUAUAUACCCAAGAGGAGAUGUUUAUUUAAAUGCGCUCUUACUGGUCAUUUAUAUUCUAUUGCAUUACAUUAGGCUGGAAGAUCCAUCUAAGCUUGCCCGAGACUUCUCAUUAAAUACAAUUGUAACAGGAGUUACAAUGCAGAUUUUUUUUUCAUGCCAAUUAUCUGCCCCAAGCAAGACAUCCAACUAUUUUAGCUACCUGUAAGAGUAAAAAUAGUAAAAAUGCAGAUGAUUUCUUGUGACAUAAAUGUUCCCUGUAUUCCCUUUGAACAUGUGAGGGGAAAACCUAUGCAUUUUUUCAAGUUCCAGAGUGUAAAAUGAGAGUGUAUAAAUGAGAUUGAUUUUCUUGUUUUUGUCUCAGACCUCACAUUUGCACGGGACUACUCUAACUAAGGGGCAAAUAUCAUGGUAGCUAUUCUAGUUGUACAAAAAAUACUCAUCUCAGGAUAUGUCUGCUUGCUGAAGUGCCCAUGGCCUAAAUCAGUGCCCAUCGUCCAAGCUCACCUACUCUCUGUGGAGAUGUCUGAAUACCCCCUGGACAACUCACUUAGAAAAAUCACUUCUUUGCAGCUCAGGUCAGAAGCAAUCACUUCCACCCCAUCCAUCUAUCUUUCUGUUUACCAGUGAACCUACCAUCCAGAACUGUGCCUUAGCUACCUACCUGCUUACCUACCAUCUAGGACCAGUGCCUAUGGAGGCAGCUUAACCUGCUCUCAAACUCCAAAAAAAGCACUUUUGCACAUUAUUUAUCUGCAAGUAAAACUGCUCUAUUCUGAAAAGUGGAAUUGUAGCUCCCAAGUCCAGGCCCUCUUGCAUCCCAAGAGUGCUCAGAAACCUGCUUCUGGCAUGGCACAGCACAUCGUGUAGGCACAAAAAAUAGCCAGAACCUGGGACUUGAGCAGAAACACUUCCUAAUGAUGCUGUGUGCACUGCAAAGUAAUUUCUGGAACCCAAACUAUGUAAAUAAAGUCUUCGUCUGACCUCUUUCUCCCCUCUCAGUUCCCAACCUUAUAAAUAACUCUUACUUCCACCUUCAGAUUUUUUCCAGAGCUCUGCUGAGGCUUUUGGUCUGCCUAUUUUUAGCUUUGCAUUUAUUGACAGUGGUUUCCUUCUCGUCUGCCUAUUCAGGCUGCAGCCUGGAGAAUCAAGAGGUUAUUCUCUUUCCCCAAAUUGGCUUUUCCGUGGACAGAUCUGUAAAAUUUCUGAAGACAAAAAGAGAGGUCACCGUUUCUUUCCGUCCCACCUGGCAUACACAUCCUCUGUGAGCCACCAUGGGACUCACUCACUGGCUGCCUCCAAAAACUUCCCGAGACAUGAGAACAUGCUCCUUGAUACCCAGAUCAGGCAAAACAUCAGCUGAAACACUCUCGGCGCCAUCGGAGUCCGAAUCUGCCUCUGAGGCUGCGGACAGGGCGUUUGCCUUCCCGUUUCUGUAGCUCAGUGGAGCCUUGGGUUCCCAAAAACCCCAGUGCCUGUCUUUGAUCGCCUGCUCUCUGCUUUAUUAAGAUGCACAGACAAUACUGCUGCAAACACCAGUGGGGAUAGAAAGAGCCUGCACAUACCAGCUGAAAAAUAACAAAGUGACAUUCACUCAGAAAAUGAAACAUAAUACAACUGGGGAAAAAGCAGCUGAAACGCAGAUGUUCAAGGGGAUGAGAAACCUAGAAAGUCAGGGCUCUGGAGGAGAGCUGGGGGUGGCAGGAAGCGAAGGAUGCACCGAAAGGAAACGCUGCAGAUGGUUUUGACCUGGUGUUACGUGUUCCCCCGCAGUGACAGGGUGGUGGUGGUGGUACACGCUGGAGCUUCUUGCUCGUGCACGAUGCCAAGGCCAUAAAGUUGGGUGAGGCUUCUCCAUGCUGGAGCCAAGCUGCAGUCUGCUUCCCCUGGGGCUCUUCUGGGUUACACACCGUCACUCCAGCAAUCCAAGCACAUCUCUUUUACCCUUCUCAAAUCAUAGAAUCAUAGAAUCAUAGAAUAUCCUGAGUUGGAAGGGACCCUUAAGGAUCAUCAAGUCCAACUCUUGACACCGCACAG